rnacentral:rRNA from 1 species
GGGCCCGCACAAGCGGUGGAGCAUGUGGUUUAAUUCGAUGCAACGCGAAGAACCUUACCAGGGUUUGACAUAGUACGAAGUUUUUUGAAAAAAAACCACCUUCGGGAACGUACAUACAGGUGGUGCAUGGCUGUCGUCAGCUCGUGUCGUGAGAUGUUGGGUUAAGUCCCGCAACGAGCGUAACCCUUGUUUUUAGUUGCCUUUCGAGGAUAUUUAGAAAGACUGCCGAUUAUAAAUCGGAGGAAGGUAAGGACGACGUCAAGUCAUCAUGCCCCUUACACUCUGGGCUACACACGUGCUACAUUGGGUAGAACAAUAAGUUGCUAAGUUGCGAAACCAAGCGAAUCUUCAAAUCUACUCUAAGUUCGGAUUGUAGGCUGCAACUCGCCUACGUGAAGGCGGAAUC